UGGGGAAUAUUGCACAAUGAGCGCAAGCCUGAUGCAGCGACGCCGCGUGAGGGAUGGAGGCCUUCGGGUUGUAAACCUCUUUUAUCGGGGAGCAAGCGUGAGUGAGUUUACCCGUUGAAUAAGCACCGGCUAACUACGUGCCAGCAGCCGCGGUAAUACGUAGGGUGCAAGCGUUAUCCGGAAUUAUUGGGCGUAAAGGGCUCGUAGGCGGUUCGUCGCGUCCGGUGUGAAAGUCCAUCGCUUAACGGUGGAUCCGCGCCGGGUACGGGCGGGCUUGAGUGCGGUAGGGGAGACUGGAAUUCCCGGUGUAACGGUGGAAUGUGUAGAUAUCGGGAAGAACACCAAUGGCGAAGGCAGGUCUCUGGGCCGUUACUGACGCUGAGGAGCGAAAGCGUGGGGAGCGAACAGGAUUAGAUACCCUGGUAGUCCACGCCGUAAACGGUGGAUGCUGGAUGUGGGGCCCGUUCCACGGGUUCCGUGUCGGAGCUAACGCGUUAAGCAUCCCGCCUGGGGAGUACGGCCGCAAGGCU
rnacentral:rRNA from 1 species